rnacentral:rRNA from 1 species
UACAGAGGUCUCAAGCGUUGUUCGGAUUCAUUGGGCGUAAAGGGUGCGUAGGCGGCGCGGUAAGUCGGGUGUGAAAUCUCGGAGCUUAACUCCGAAACUGCAUUCGAUACUGCCGUGCUUGAGGACUGGAGAGGAGACUGGAAUUCAUGGUGUAGCAGUGAAAUGCGUAGAGAUCAUGAGGAACACCAGUGGCGAAGGCGACUACCUGGCCUGUUCUUGACGCUGAGGCGCGAAAGCUAGGGGAGCAAACGGG